rnacentral:rRNA from 1 species
AUGACAUGUUGUAUUAUCCUGCACAAUAUGAUUUUUGAAAAUGAGAGAGGAAUGAACUUGGAAUUUUUCUAUGACAAUGUGGGUAGUCGUGUCAAACCAGCUAGAGACUCUAACCGCAUUAGAGCUUUUCUUCAAACAUACAAGGAGAUUGAAAAUCCAAACACCCACUUUCAACUUCAGUAGGAUCUUAUUGAGCAUCAUUGGCAAAGGGCUGGACAGUGA